UUGGAGCUUCAUGCAACAGAUGGCAUGAGCUGCUCUGUUCCCCCAGGGACCCCAGGGCGGCUUGAGGGCUGCUCUGUUCCCACGAGGAACCCGGGGCGGCUGGCGGUCUCUCCUGGGAACUGGAACCAUCUUUGCUCAUGGGGAUGUCGCAGGAGAGUGGUGUCUCAGCCAGGCCAGCAGGUGCCCUGGGCCCCAUUGACCCUUGCUCUGUGGUGAGGGCCAUUGAGCCUGGGCUGGGGCCUCAGGUGACCAGGCUGAGGUCAGUUUGUCAGAGACCACCCUGACAAGAUCAUCGAAGGGAAAGAUUUGGGGAGAAGUGAGCUCUCUGUGACUGAUUUGGGGAAGCUGAAUCUGCUGUAUUUAGGGGAGAGGAGAUGAGAGGGUUUUCUGUGAAUUGAGGGUUUCUGUGUUUAGGGGAGAGGAGAUGAGAGGGUUUUCUGUGAAUUGAGGGUUUCUGUGUUUAGGGGAGAGGAGAUGAGAGGGUUUUCUGUGAAUACGAGAUCGUGGCCACAGCUGGGAUCUUCACGAAACAGGAACGUCGACUCUGUGGUACAGCGGCUGCAUUAAAGCCGUAUGUAGACUGCCACGUGGGCAUAAAUGUAGAUAAAAAAUCAACCAGAGUGUUGUGGUUGGGGGUGGUGGCUCUGUUGGCCAACCCAAGUCCAGCACGGAGGGCACUUUCCCCGGCCUGCGUGGGCACGGGUCUCACUGGGCAGUCUUUACGUUGAAUGCGCAGGAAGAGACAGUCAGUCUGUUGCCCAGGCUGCAGCUCCUAGUUUUAACAAUUACGUGAAGUUUAGCAGUCGUUCAUAAGCAUGGAGGACGCAGUGGUGUCUGCCGAAGACGGGAAAGGUGGCUGUGAACGGCUGGCUGCUGUUACAAUCGAUCCACGCAGGAUCGAGAGAAACCUGCACCCCACCACACGAGGCUGAGAGAUGCAGAGGCCGCAGUGCAGCCACUGAGCAAAUGCAGAGGAGAAGCAGGCUCUGCUCAGAGCAGCGGCAAAAGCCAGGGAUUGCUGAGAAUCAACCAGAGACACGCCCAGGGUCAUGAUGGAGAGACCCGCAGGAAGGCAGAAAGGAGACCGAGCCGGGAGCCGCGAGGGUGCAGACGGCAGAUGGUGCUCCAGUGCCAGCCCCCACUGCCUGGGCACUGCCUCCAAGGCGUGAAGGCCGUCAAGGUGGAAACUCCCCCCGGGCAGUGUAGAAAGCAGCACAGGGCCAAGGGAGCGCCGAAGAAUCUCUUCUGGAAAUUGACAACCUGGUGUAAAGCUCAGAGGAAAAGUAGCAGCUGGCAAAAGUUCAAAGAAUAAGCAAAUAAUAUUCGCCUUUGGUAGUCAUGAGUAUAUGCAAAUGUUAAAAGCUACACAGUACCUGCUUCUUAAUUAUAUCUUGUUUUCAAAAUCAUCAAUGAGUGAUCGGGGAACAGGCUGACCAAGCAGCCCGGCCUGGCCUGAGGAGGACCCUGCGGCCUGGGAAGCCCCUGCCCGUGUUGCCUGGGGAAGACCUGGGUGUCCAUGCGUGAUGUUGUACGUCGGCUCCCUGAGAGCAGUGAUUCAUGCCUGUCCCUACAUCCUGUGUCGCCACAUGGAGAGCAGAGUGUGACCCCUGCAUGAAGAGAAGCAGGCACAGGGUGAGGGGAGGCUCGAGGUGCGUGGGAGCCUAUUUCAGUCACCAAUGCACUUCUGGGGGUGGUGAGUCCAAGGUCACUAAAGUCACCCAGACAGUUCUGAACAUCCUGGCACCCCCCACAGGGCU
rnacentral:lncRNA from 10 species